rnacentral:rRNA from 1 species
AACGAACGCUGGCGGCAUGCCUAACACAUGCAAGUCGAACGGGACCUUCGGGUCUAGUGGCGCACGGGUGCGUAACGCGUGGGAACCUGCCCUUAGGUUCGGAAUAACUUCCCGAAAGGGGUGCUAAUACCGGAUAAUGUCUUCGGACCAAAGAUUUAUCGCCUUUGGAUGGGCCCGCGUUGGAUUAGCUAGUUGGUAGGGUAAAAGCCUACCAAGGCGACGAUCCAUAGCUGGUCUGAGAGGAUGAUCAGCCACACUGGGACUGAGACACGGCCCAGACUCCUACGGGAGGCAGCAGUGGGGAAUAUUGGACAAUGGGCGAAAGCCUGAUCCAGCAAUGCCGCGUGAGUGAUGAAGGCCUUAGGGUUGUAAAGCUCUUUUACCCGGGAUGAUAAUGACAGUACCGGGAGAAUAAGCUCCGGCUAACUCCGUG